rnacentral:lncRNA from 1 species
CCAACCUCACUUUCUCGUCUUCCCAAUACCCCAAUGUAUGCUUCAUCCAUUCUCCAUCCUCCCUUUUCUGCACCCACAUUCAUUAUUAUAUCAUCAUCAUCUUCUUUACAGUAUAUACUAAUGUAUGAGGAAAAGAAGGGGAAUCAAACCGUGAAAUCUUCCCGAGCAUGUGCUCCUCUGCUUUCCUUUCGUGCUUCCGCUGAAUGCAUUGUUAUUGAAGCGUUUAUCAAUAGGUUCUCCAGUUCUAUUGUCUCUAUCAGAUCAGAGUUCCUGCAUUCAUCAGAUAAGUUAGUCACAACUAACAAGGAGCUUUUUGUAACAUUGAUAAUUUAAUAAUCUCGACCCCAUGUGUAAAGUAUCGUUUUACCAUAUCAAACUCCGAUCUUUAACCUGGACAUCCUCGAAACUUUCCCAUGCCUUGUCGAUCAACUGACAACCUGCAAUAAAUUAUUCCAGGUUAAGAUAAAACUGGCGGCUUUUGCAGAUGGGAGAGAGCUCUUUAAUCCAGGACUAACUAAUAAGAUUAAUGUUUGUUACCUUCUUCCAAUGUUUCUUGCGUGCGGAAGACAGCUGCGUUGUUCUGCAUAAUCCUCUGCAUGUUCAAUCUGAUACUUGAUGUAGGAAGCGACCCGCUUGAGUGUCUCAACUUGUUCAGCCAUUCUAUCGUCUUCUUGCCUGCAUUUUCCUCCAGAGGCCUCUGUUUCUCCCCUGCACCCAUCGAGGAAUAAGGCAAAUAAAAAAACAUCAGAUUAGGCUCUUCUUUAUGUACUUAUAAUACAGUCUCGAGAGAUUCUAGAAAAAUUGACUAACCUGGUUUGCUUAUCUCUGCUACCCUAUUCGCACAAGCACGGCCAAACACAACAAUGUCGAGGAGAGAAUUUGCACCAAGCCUGUUGGCACCGUGAACAGAUGCACAAGCUGCCUCCCCAGCAGCCAUAAGCCCUGGAACCACUGCAUCUGGAUCAUCUCCUUUGAUGGUCACUACCUGCACGACAAAAAAAAUAAAAAUUACUCCUGAUCUCUACUGCAUCUCAUAUUUCACUCUACACAAAUUUCAGUAAAAUUGCUUCAAAAGUUCAACGACUUCUGCUAUUCUUACCUCGCCGUGGUAAUUUGUUGGGAUACCACCCAUGUUAUAGUGCACAGUAGGCAAGACUGGAAUUGGCUCUUUGGUAACAUCAACACCAGCGAAGAUUGCAGCCGUCUCAGAUAUUCCAGGAAGCCUUUCUUUUAGAACUUCUGGUGGGAGAUGGUUCAAAUGGAGAUAGAUAUGAUCCUUAUGCGGUCCUGGCCAUUUUAGCAACGGUUAAUCCAAAACGAGUAUUAAGACUACAGAGUAUCACGAAAUCAAUUAUGGUCCUCAAAGACUCAUAAUGAGAGUUAGCUGAGAAAGUUGAAUCUAGCAUACCUACACCACGACCUUCCCUGAUUUCCAUAGUCAUAGAUCUAGAGACAACAUCUCUUGAUGCAAGAUCCUUGGCUGUAGGAGCAUAUCGUUCCAUAAAACGUUCUCCUUCACUGUUUCUAAGGAUACCACCUUCACCUCGGGAUCCUGCAAUUGUUUAGUAGAGAAACACCAAAAAUAACCAUGUCAACCACAUUAUAUCUCUAUCGUGUAAGUAAAUGGACUAUGUGAGGACAAGAUGCUAACCUUCAGUGAUGAGACAUCCGGCUCCGUAAAUACCAGUUGGAUGGAACUGAACAAACUCCAAGUCCUGCAUAUGACGUAAUCAGACAAUAAUAUUAUUAGCAUACAGAUACGUUUUGCACCAUUUAUCUCAAAACUAAAUAGGUAGCAUACCUGGAGUGGAAGACCAGCACGUGCAACCAUGGCAUUGCCAUCUCCUGUGCAUGUAUGUGCUGAGGUUGCAGAGAAGUAUGCUCUGCCGUAACCCUGGAAAAAAAAAGAGGCAUCAUGUGAGUAAACUUGCACAAUUGGAAAAAUUCGUAACAUGAAAACUACUCAAAACUAGCUCACCCCAGUGGCCAAGAUUGUUUGUGCAGAGCGGAAACGGUGCAAUGUUCCAUCUUCCAUGUUUAGUGCAAUUACACCCUGGCAAGUGCCUGCAGAUCGGAUAACAAUGUUGCAUCAAUACUAACGGAAGCAAGAGAAAAAGGAAAAUAACUCCCAAACACUUACCAUCACUCGCCAUGAGCAGAUCCAGAGCGAAGUAUUCAACAAAGAACUGUGUGUUAUGCUUCAUAGCUUGUCCAUAUAAGGUAUGCAAGAGAGCAUGCCCAGUCCGAUCCGCAGCACAAGCACAACGAUAGGCCUGACCACCUGACGGUAGAAUAAAAAGAAAGCCAACAUGAGAAAAUCUACUAAAACAAUCAAAGUUCCCAAAACAAAGCCAGCAAGAGCACAUAUGAAAAAAUCAAAUGAAAUGAUCAAAAAGGUAGCAAGACGUUAGACAAAGUCACCUUUGCCAAAGUCAAGACUCUGACCACCAAAUGCACGCUGGUAAAUUUUACCCUCUUCAGUACGAGAAAAGGGCAGGCCGUAAUUCUCAAGUUCAAUCACUGCUUUUGGUGCCUCUCUACACAUAUACUGAAUGGCAUCUUGAUCACCUACACAAAGAAAAUCAAAAAACUGUUAAAUGCAGGCACAGCAACUGAACCACAUACUAGCAAGAGCAAUAAGCUAAUACAAAAGAAAAAGAAGAGUUGCAAGAUUACCAAGCCAGUCACUUCCUUUGACAGUAUCAUACAUGUGCCAUCUCCAGUCAUCUUCAGACAUGUUUCCCAGUGCAGCAUUAAUACCACCCUUCACAGUUUCCCCACAUCACAUUAAAGCUCAUCAAAUCUCAAAGAAACCAAAACUCCAUUACUAAUCAGAAGGGUAAAACGAAAUUAACCUGAGCAGCGACGGUGUGUGAGCGUGUGGGGAAGAGCUUGGUGAUGCAAGCCGUGUUAAAUCCAUGCUCAGAUAAUCCAAUGGCCGCCCUUAGCCCAGCACCACCAGCUCCCACAACCACCGCGUCAUAGGUGUGAUCCACUAUCGUGUAAUCACCUGUCUGCUGCAUGAUCAACAACAUGGAUACGAAGAAUAAGCAAAAAAAGCAAUUCUAACAAUACGCAAUCCCGAUCAAAUUCAAUACUAAAACUCAACGGACUCCGUGUUCCCUAUCAUAAGCUUCUGUUACUCGAGAUUCCACGCGUAUUUACAUAGGAUCGAAACGAUAAAACUAAGAAUCGGAGGAGAGAUCUUACGGAACCGGUGGAGAGGAAUCUAGAAAAGCGAGAUCCAGAGAGUGAGGUCCUUGAGGAAGGAGCACGAAGGCUACGAGAGACGCAGCGCCACAUCUUCUUCUUUUUGAAUCCACAAGCCGAUCAGAUUCUAUGCAAAAUGAAGAUGGUAGACGAAAUCGUUUCUUUUUUUGUUUACCUGAGAACUCGCGAGCGGAGUGAGAGAGAGCCACCGAGGUGAGGUGCUGCUUUUUAAAGAAAAAAUGGAAAACGAUGACUUCUUUAAAUUCCGUUUAUACCCUUACUCUCUCACGAUAACUACGCCUAAACCGGUUUGCUUUGGGAACUAAACCAACCCCCAAGGUUAGGCCCUCUCCCUCCUAUUGGUCAAUUGAUAACAUGUUUGGUGCCAAUUUUUUCUUUCUCGCCGUCUCAUUUUUUAGAUCCAACGAUGAAGGGGGUAACUCGAUCAAAAUGAUAGAAUAUUCAAAAUUAUCAAAUAAUUUUGAAAUAAUAAUGGCCCAUGUUUUUAUUAUCUACCAGUAACAUACUUAUCAUUUUAUUCCAUGCUUCCAUAAGUACUUUUUUUUUCUAUUUUUAUAUUAGAUUUAGCUUCAUAGUAUUCGAAAACGUAGAGAAGGAUACUAGUCACUCGUGGACGGUUCUAAUCCAGAAGUUGGAAACCUUUUGUGAGGAAACGAUUACGUUAGAAUAAAAAUAAUGAUUAGUUUAAAUACCAAUUCCGUUGUCGUCCAAGAGUGUCCAUGUGAACAGGCCUAUACUCCAACCUCACUUUCUCGUCUUCCCAAUACCCCAAUGUAUGCUUCAUCCAUUCUCCAUCCUCUCUUUUCUGCACCCACAUUCAUUAUUAUAUCAUCAUCAUCUUCUUUACAGUAUAUACUAAUGUAUGAGGAAAAGAAGGGGAAUCAAACCGUGAAAUCUUCCCGAGCAUGUGCUCCUCUGCUUUCCUUUCGUGCUUCCGCUGAAUGCAUUGUUAUUGAAGCGUUUAUCAAUAGGUUCUCCAGUUCUAUUGUCUCUAUCAGAUCAGAGUUCCUGCAUUCAUCAGAUAAGUUAGUCACAACUAACAAGGAGCUUUUUGUAACAUUGAUAAUUUAAUAAUCUCGACCCCAUGUGUAAAGUAUCGUUUUACCAU